rnacentral:rRNA from 1 species
UGCGGAGGAUGCAAGCGUUAUCCGGAAUGAUUGGGCGUAAAGCGUCCGCAGGUGGCAAUGUAAGUCUGCUGUCAAAGCGUCUGGCUCAACCAGAUAAAGGCAGUGGAAACUACAUAGCUAGAGUAAGGUAGGGGCAGAGGGAAUUCCUGGUGUAGCGGUGAAAUGCGUAGAGAUCAGGAAGAACACCGGUGGCGAAAGCGCUCUGCUGGACCUAAACUGACACUGAGGGACGAAAGCUAGGGGAGCGAAUGGG